CGACUGGCGGAAUGCUUUACACAUGCAAGUCGAACGAUGAAGCCUAGCUUGCUAGGCAGAUUAGUGGCGAACGGGUGAGUAAUGUAUCGGAACGUAUCCAAUAAUGGGGGAUAACGAGUCGAAAGAUUCGCUAAUACCGCAUACGCCCUACGGGGGAAAGCAGGGGAUCUUAGGACCUUGCGUUAAUGGAGCGGCCGAUAUCUGAUUAGCUUGUUGGUGAGGUAAUGGCUCACCAAGGCGACGAUCCCUAGCUGGUCUGAGAGGAUGAUCAGCCACACUGGAACUGAGACACGGUCCAGACUCCUACGGGAGGCAGCAGUGGGGAAUAUUGCACAAUGGGGGAAACCCUGAUGCAGCCAUGCCGCGUGUGUGAAGAAGGCCUUCGGGUUGUAAAGCACUUUCAGUGAGGAGGAAAGGUUGAUGCCUAAUACGCAUCAGCUGUGACGUUACUCGCAGAAGAAGCACCGGCUAACUCCGUG
rnacentral:rRNA from 1 species